ACUGAGGUUUGGGGACCCUUAGCUACUCUUGCAGCUUGGGAGUCAAGGUCUAGGGGAUUAUGGGACACCACCUGGGGCUGACAGUGGGCCAGCAAGUCCUGCCAGCGGAUCAUCUUGGGAGACUCACCCACUGAUCGGGAGUAAUGUCCUGGCUACUGACCACGACCCCAGCCAGUGUCAGGAGGCUGUGGCACAGAUAGCAGACCUGGGGAGAGAGCGAGAG
rnacentral:lncRNA from 1 species